rnacentral:rRNA from 1 species
UACGUAGGGGGCAAGCGUUGUCCGGAUUCAUUGGGCGUAAAGAGCGUGUAGGCGGCCAGGUAGGUCGGUUGUGAAAACUGGAGGCUCAACCUUCAGAGGUCGACCGAAACCAUCUGGCUAGAGUCCGGGAGAGGAGAGUGGAAUUCCUGGUGUAGCGGUGAAAUGCGCAGAUAUCAGGAGGAACACCGGUGGCGAAGGCGGUGGUCUGGGCCGGAACUGACGCUGAGGAGCGAAAGCGUGGGGAGCGAACAGG